ACAAUGCGGAACUUCUGUUUUGCAAUUGGAUUGAGAACAACGCACAACACUUAUCGAUAAACAAUUGGAGGGCAAGUCUGGUGCCAGCAGCCGCGGUAAUUCCAGCUCCAAUAGCGUAUAUUAACGUUGUUGCAGUUAAAAAGCUCGUAGUUGAAGUGAAGUGUGAACCUUCUGGAUUUUCGUUCGAAUUUCUUGCUGGUUCGCACUCUUUCCAAAUAGUUUGCAUGGGUAUUCACUUAUCUGUGUAUUGCAUUUGGUCAUUUACUGUGAGAAAAUUAGAGUGUUCAAAGCAUACGUUUGUUUGAAUACAUUAGCAUGGAAUAAUUCGAAAAGGCUUUCAUGUUCGAUUUGAUUGGUUUGUUCGUGAAGGCAAGAUUAAAAGGGACAGUUGGGGGUAUUCAUAUUCAAUAGUCAGAGGUGAAAUUCUCGGAUUUAUGGAA
rnacentral:rRNA from 1 species